AGCGUACACGGUGGAUGCCCUGGCAGUCAGAGGCGAUGAAGGACGUGCUAAUCUGCGAUAAGCGUCGGUGAGGUGAUAUGAACCGUUAUAACCGGCGAUUUCCGAAUGGGGAAACCCAGUGUGUUUCGACACACUAUCAUUAACUGAAUCCAUAGGUUAAUGAGGCGAACCGGGGGAACUGAAACAUCUAAGUACCCCGAGGAAAAGAAAUCAACCGAGAUUCCCCCAGUAGCGGCGAGCGAACGGGGAGGAGCCCAGAGCCUGAAUCAGUGUGUGUGUUAGUGGAAGCGUCUGGAAAGGCGCGCGAUACAGGGUGACAGCCCCGUACACAAAAAUGCACAUAUUGUGAGCUCGAUGAGUAGGGCGGGACACGUGGUAUCCUGUCUGAAUAUGGGGGGACCAUCCUCCAAGGCUAAAUACUCCUGACUGACCGAUAGUGAACCAGUACCGUGAGGGAAAGGCGAAAAGAACCCCGGCGAGGGGAGUGAAAAAGAACCUGAAACCGUGUACGUACAAGCAGUGGGAGCCUCUUAAUGGGGUGACUGCGUACCUUUUGUAUAAUGGGUCAGCGACUUAUAUUCUGUAGCAAGGUUAACCGAANNNNNNNGCCGAAGGGAAACCGAGUCUUAACUGGGCGUUAAGUUGCAGGGUAUAGACCCGAAACCCGGUGAUCUAGCCAUGGGCAGGUUGAAGGUUGGGUAACACUAACUGGAGGACCGAACCGACUAAUGUUGAAAAAUUAGCGGAUGACUUGUGGCUGGGGGUGAAAGGCCAAUCAAACCGGGAGAUAGCUGGUUCUCCCCGAAAGCUAUUUAGGUAGCGCCUCGUGAAUUCAUCUCCGGGGGUAGAGCACUGUUUCGGCAAGGGGGUCAUCCCGACUUACCAACCCGAUGCAAACUGCGAAUACCGGAGAAUGUUAUCACGGGAGACACACGGCGGGUGCUAACGUCCGUCGUGAAGAGGGAAACAACCCAGACCGCCAGCUAAGGUCCCAAAGUCAUGGUUAAGUGGGAAACGAUGUGGGAAGGCCCAGACAGCCAGGAUGUUGGCUUAGAAGCAGCCAUCAUUUAAAGAAAGCGUAAUAGCUCACUGGUCGAGUCGGCCUGCGCGGAAGAUGUAACGGGGCUAAACCAUGCACCGAAGCUGCGGCAGCGACACUAUGUGUUGUUGGGUAGGGGAGCGUUCUGUAAGCCUGUGAAGGUGUACUGUGAGGUAUGCUGGAGGUAUCAGAAGUGCGAAUGCUGACAUAAGUAACGAUAAAGCGGGUGAAAAGCCCGCUCGCCGGAAGACCAAGGGUUCCUGUCCAACGUUAAUCGGGGCAGGGUGAGUCGACCCCUAAGGCGAGGCCGAAAGGCGUAGUCGAUGGGAAACAGGUUAAUAUUCCUGUACUUGGUGUUACUGCGAAGGGGGGACGGAGAAGGCUAUGUUGGCCGGGCGACGGUUGUCCCGGUUUAAGCGUGUAGGCUGGUUUUCCAGGCAAAUCCGGAAAAUCAAGGCUGAGGCGUGAUGACGAGGCACUACGGUGCUGAAGCGACAAAUGCCCUGCUUCCAGGAAAAGCCUCUAAGCAUCAGGUAACAUCAAAUCGUACCCCAAACCGACACAGGUGGUCAGGUAGAGAAUACCAAGGCGCUUGAGAGAACUCGGGUGAAGGAACUAGGCAAAAUGGUGCCGUAACUUCGGGAGAAGGCACGCUGAUAUGUAGGUGAAGCGACUUGCUCGUGGAGCUGAAAUCAGUCGAAGAUACCAGCUGGCUGCAACUGUUUAUUAAAAACACAGCACUGUGCAAACACGAAAGUGGACGUAUACGGUGUGACGCCUGCCCGGUGCCGGAAGGUUAAUUGAUGGGGUUAGCGGUAACGCGAAGCUCUUGAUCGAAGCCCCGGUAAACGGCGGCCGUAACUAUAACGGUCCUAAGGUAGCGAAAUUCCUUGUCGGGUAAGUUCCGACCUGCACGAAUGGCGUAAUGAUGGCCAGGCUGUCUCCACCCGAGACUCAGUGAAAUUGAACUCGCUGUGAAGAUGCAGUGUACCCGCGGCAAGACGGAAAGACCCCGUGAACCUUUACUAUAGCUUGACACUGAACAUUGAGCCUUGAUGUGUAGGAUAGGUGGGAGGCUUUGAAGUGUGGACGCCAGUCUGCAUGGAGCCGACCUUGAAAUACCACCCUUUAAUGUUUGAUGUUCUAACGUGGGCCCCUUACCGGGGUUGCGGACAGUGUCUGGUGGGUAGUUUGACUGGGGCGGUCUCCUCCUAAAGAGUAACGGAGGAGCACGAAGGUUGGCUAAUCCUGGUCGGACAUCAGGAGGUUAGUGCAAUGGCAUAAGCCAGCUUGACUGCGAGCGUGACGGCGCGAGCAGGUGCGAAAGCAGGUCAUAGUGAUCCGGUGGUUCUGAAUGGAAGGGCCAUCGCUCAACGGAUAAAAGGUACUCCGGGGAUAACAGGCUGAUACCGCCCAAGAGUUCAUAUCGACGGCGGUGUUUGGCACCUCGAUGUCGGCUCAUCACAUCCUGGGGCUGAAGUAGGUCCCAAGGGUAUGGCUGUUCGCCAUUUAAAGUGGUACGCGAGCUGGGUUUAGAACGUCGUGAGACAGUUCGGUCCCUAUCUGCCGUGGGCGCUGGAGAACUGAGGGGGGCUGCUCCUAGUACGAGAGGACCGGAGUGGACGCAUCACUGGUGUUCGGGUUGUCAUGCCAAUGGCACUGCCCGGUAGCUAAAUGCGGAAGAGAUAAGUGCUGAAAGCAUCUAAGCACGAAACUUGCCCCGAGAUGAGUUCUCCCUGACUCCUUGA
rnacentral:rRNA from 1 species